AUGCUGCCGUCGCCAUGGCCGCGACCACCGUGCUCCCCGCACCGCGAGAAGACGCCCAGAAGGACUGCCACGGUCCACUUCGUCCAUCCCGAGGACCGAAUCGAGCGGGGAAGGCCCGUACACUCGCCAUCGCCACCAUCUUCAUCUUGUACAUCGCCGCGGCCUCGACGUCGAUCCGCAUCACCUCGUCCAUCCCGGCCUCGUACGAGCUCACCACCAACCUCCUCUCAACCCCGUGACGAUGCUGAUGCCCCUGUGAUCGACUACGUCACCGACGACCCCUCCUUCUCGCCUGAGCAACCAGGAGCCAGAUGA
rnacentral:rRNA from 1 species